rnacentral:misc_RNA from 1 species
CUGAACGCUUGCUGCUCUUAUUUCAACCAUGUCACUGGACGAUUCUUCCUCUGCGGUUAAUAGCUUGUACUGCGACGAGGACGCCAAUGAGGUUGUUCAAUUCGAUGCUGACUCCUGGAUCUCUGAUUGCCUUCAAUCUCCUUCAUUCUCUGGUUAUUCUCCGCCUUACGAUGAAAAUAUCGUCAACCGACUCAUUGACUCUGAGCCCCACUUCAUGCCUUUAAGUGAUUAUCUCCAUCGCUGCCGUGACUGCUCCAUUGACACCACCGCUCGCCAAGACUCCAUCAAUUGGAUCCUUAAGGUGCAUGCAUAUUAUCAAUUCAGGCCAAUAACGGUGCUACUCUCCGUCAACUAUUUCGACCGCUUUCUUUCUUCUCAUUCUCUUCCGGCAAAUGGAUGGCCGUUUCAACUUCUCUCAGUGGCGUGCUUGUCUUUAGCUGCCAAAAUGGAGGAGGUCCAUGUGCCACCAUUAUUGGACCUUGAGAUACUUGAACCCGGAUUCAUUUUUGAACCCAAAACCAUCCAAAGAAUGGAGCUGUAUGUCAUGGCCAGUCUUAAUUGGAGGCUACGCUCCGUUACUGCUUUUGACUAUCUCCAUUAUUUCAUCUCCAAGCUUCCUUGUUCCUCCACAAAACUCGACAGCUUCAGUCGAGUCUUCAUGGCUUCUUCGGAUCUCAUUCUAAGCACUAUCCGUGUGAUUGAUUUCUUAGGCUUCACACCGUCGACAAUAGCAGCAGCGGCUGUGUUAUGUGCCGUCGGCGAGAGUUUUGAAACACCAACGACCG